rnacentral:lncRNA from 1 species
UCCAGCAGGAGGCUUACAAAGCAAGUAUUCCCUGCAAUAAGAUUAGCAAACUGAAGUUCAAAGAAUUGGAUAACCUAGCCCAAGAUCAGACCUUUGGAGAAUGAAAGAAUCUGGAUUUGCACCCGGAACUUACUGGCUUCCACCUCUAAACACCAGCUUCCCUGUUCCAACUUUUCUAAAGUUGAAUGUUCUUCAUACAAAUAUCAGCAGGAAGACAUUGAGGCACAAAAUAAAUGGGGUAUUGUAUGAGAAUGCCUAGCUUUCAAUGAGCUUAUGUCUCCAAGCUUGGACAAAUUCCGGCUGGGGUACCAACAGAAUUUAUAUAUGAGAAGACUGUUGGCAGCUUUUCAGGGACUGUGGGGCCGGGGAGAGACGCCAGAAGACUGUGGCUGGGUACACACUAUUCCAUUUUGUGAAAAGGGGAAGAAGGUUGAUUCUGCAAACCAUAGAUGCCAGAGUCCUGGGCAAAGUUCU